UACGUAGGGGGCAAGCGUUGUCCGGAAUUAUUGGGCGUAAAGCGCGCGCAGGCGGUUCCUUAAGUCUGAUGUGAAAGCCCACGGCUUAACCGUGGAGGGUCAUUGGAAACUGGGGAACUUGAGUACAGAAGAGGAGAGUGGAAUUCCACGUGUAGCGGUGAAAUGCGUAGAUAUGUGGAGGAACACCAGUGGCGAUGGCGACUCUCUGGUCUGUAACUGACGCUGAGGUGCGAAAGCGUGGGGAGCGAACAGG
rnacentral:rRNA from 1 species